rnacentral:rRNA from 1 species
GGAGUUAGCCGGUGCUUCUUCUGUGAGUGAUGUCCUUCCUGCCGGCUAUUAACCCGCAGGCCUUCUUCCUCACUGAAAGUGCUUUACAACCCGAAGGCCUUCUUCACACACGCGGCAUGGCUGGAUCAGGGUUGCCCCCAUUGUCCAAUAUUCCCCACUGCUGCCUCCCGUAGGAGUCUGGGCCGUGUCUCAGUCCCAGUGUGGCUGAUCAUCCUCUCAGACCAGCUACGGAUCGUCGCCUUGGUGAGCCGUUACCUCACCAACCAGCUAAUCCGACAUAGGCUCAUCCGAUAGCGCGAGGCCCGAAGGUCCCCCGCUUUCCCCCGUAGGGCGUAUGCGGUAUUAGCCUGGGUUUCCCCAGGUUAUCCCCCACUACCGGGCAGAUUCCUAUGCAUUACUCACCCGUCCGCCGCUCGCCACCAGGGAGCAAGCUCCCCGUGCUGCCGCUCGACUUGCAUGUGUAGCUCGCGCACGCGUCAUCUGAGCGAGAUACAACUACUGA